rnacentral:rRNA from 1 species
AGAGUUUGAUCAUGGCUCAGAUUGAACGCUGGCGGCAUGCCUUACACAUGCAAGUCGAACGGCAGCACGGGGGCAACCCUGGUGGCGAGUGGCGAACGGGUGAGUAAUACAUCGGAACGUGUCCUGUAGUGGGGGAUAGCCCGGCGAAAGCCGGAUUAAUACCGCAUACGACCUGAGGGAGAAAGCGGGGGAUCUUCGGACCUCGCGCUAUAGGGGCGGCCGAUGGCAGAUUAGCUAGUUGGUGGGGUAAAGGCCUACCAAGGCGACGAUCUGUAGCUGGUCUGAGAGGACGACCAGCCACACUGGGACUGAGACACGGCCCAGACUCCUACGGGAGGCAGCAGUGGGGAAUUUUGGACAAUGGGGGCAACCCUGAUCCAGCAAUGCCGCGUGUGUGAAGAAGGCCUUCGGGUUGUAAAGCACUUUUGUCCGGAAAGAAAACCAUCGCCCUAAUAUGGUGGUGGGAUGACGGUACCGGAAGAAUAAGCACCGGCUAACUACGUGCCAGCAGCCGCGGUAAUACGUAGGGUGCGAGCGUUAAUCGGAAUUACUGGGCGUAAAGCGUGCGCAGGCGGUUUGUUAAGACCGAUGUGAAAUCCCCGGGCUCAACCUGGGAACUGCAUUGGUGACUGGCAGGCUUUGAGUGUGGCAGAGGGAGGUAGAAUUCCACGUGUAGCAGUGAAAUGCGUAGAGAUGUGGAGGAAUACCGAUGGCGAAGGCAGCCUCCUGGGCCAACACUGACGCUCAUGCACGAAAGCGUGGGGAGCAAACAGGAUUAGAUACCCUGGUAGUCCACGCCCUAAACGAUGUCAACUAGUUGUUGGGGAUUCAUUUCCUUAGUAACGUAGCUAACGCGUGAAGUUGACCGCCUGGGGAGUACGGUCGCAGAUUAAACUCAAGGGAUUGACGGGGACCCGCACAAGCGGUGGAUGAUGUGGAUUAUCGAUGCAACGCGAAAACCUUACCUACCCUUGACAUGGUCGGAACCCUGCUGAAAGUUGUG